AUUGAACGCUGGCGGCAGGCCUAACACAUGCAAGUCGAGCGGAUGAAGGGAGCUUGCUCCUGGAUUUAGCGGCGGACGGGUGAGCAAUGCCUAGGAAUCUGCCUGGAGGUGGGGAAUACCGUCGGGACCAGGGCGCUACUACUGCAGACGACCUGAGGGCGAACGUGGGGGACCUUGGACCAUACCCCCUUCCCAGGAGCCUAGGUCGGUUUAGCUAGUUGGUGGGGUAAAGGACUACCAUGGCGACGAUCCGUAACUGGUCUGAGAGGAUGAUCAGUCACACUGGAACUGGGACACGGUCCAGACUCCUGCGGGAGGCAGCAGUGAGGAAUAUUGGACAGUGGUCGAAGACCUGAUCCAGCCAUGCCGCGUGUGUGAAGAAGGUCUUCGGAUUGUAAAGCACUUUAAGUUGGGAGGAAGGGCAGUAAGUUAAUACCUUGCUGUUUUGACGUUACCAACAGAAUAAGCACCGGCUAACUUCGUG
rnacentral:rRNA from 1 species